UCUCUCUCUCUCUCUCUCUCUCUCUCUCUCUCUCUCUCUCUCUCUCUCUCUCUCUCUCUCUCUCUCUCUCUCUCUCUGGCUCAUCAUCUUCCUCCUCCCUCUCUUCUCCGAUCUCGAAUCUCCGGCCAUGACGGCGUCUCAGGCCAACACCGACUCGACGACGAUGGCUCAGCGCCGCUUGAUAGAUGACGACGUUGGCUCAACCUCGUCGUCGCCAGAACGACGAUGAAGCCUUGACCUCGACCUUGACUCCGACGGCUCGACGACGGCGCCUCAACCUCGAAGUCGCCGGAUCGACGACGACGCGCCUUGACCUCGAAGUUGCCAAAUCGACGACGACGCGCCUUGACCUCGAAGUCGCCGAAUCGUCUCUUGCGUCCAAUCCCAUCGAUAACAACUUCUGAUUUGACCUCGACGGGAUCUCUGAAACCAAAUGACUCGCUGGCUCGUCUGGUCCUUGACGGCUAUGAUCGCCUUCCGUCGGCUUCGAAGAUGUCACCUCAGAUGGCUCCACUCGAUGAAGAUCGGCGACGAGAAGUAGCAGAUCUGGUUGACGACCUAAAGAUCUAGACCUCCGAUUGGAGGUGACUGUUCUGGUAAAAUUCUUAGUGUAAAUUUGCUACAGUUUCUUUCUUUGGUUUUGAGAAAAUGUAAAAAAGAUUAGGAUGAUGUUUUCUGUUAAUUUGAUAGUGAGUGUGAGAAAUCAUGCACAAAAUCAUGUUCUGAUAAUAUAGGAGAUGAAUGAAACGACAUUCAUAAGUAUGUUUCGGCCUCAUUGUAUGAUAGUAUAUUUUGAACAAUGCGAUAGUACAUUUUCAUCAUUGUGAUAGUAUAUUUUCCCCACUGUAAUUGUCUAUUUUUGACACAUUGGUAAUAACUUUCAUUAUGCUUGAUAGUAGAUUUUGUUACCGAAAAUAUUAGCUAUUGGUUUUGUUUGGAGGUAAUAGUUUUUGUUGAUGGUGGUAGUAGUUUUUGUUGAUGGGGGUAGUAGUUUUUGUUAUUUGCGGUAGUAGUUUUUGUUGCUAGCGACAAUAUCUUUUGUGACUUCGUCAGAGGUCAUUAAAAUUCUCACUGUAGUAGCUUUUGUAGCUGAGGGUAGUAGCUUUUAUAGUUGGUGAUAGUAGCUUUUUUUGUUGGUGACAAUAGCUUUUAUUCUGUUUGGUAGUAGUUUUUAGGGGUGGGUUCGGUUUUGUUCGGUUCGGUUUUCACCUAAAACCGAAAACCAAACCGAAUAAAAAAUUUGGUUCGGUUCAGUUCGGUUUGGCAUUUUUUAAGACCUUAAACCGUAAACCAAACCAAACCGUGGUUCGGUUCGGUUUCGGUUUUUUUUCGGUUUUUUCUUCUUCUUUUUUAAAAUAUUUUUUCUUAAAAUUUGUAUGCUUUUGUCUUAGUAAAAAAUUAUCGUAUUUUAGGUCUUAUUUUUUUUCUUUCAUUACUUGUUUUUAUAAACUCAUAUAAUAUAUCAAUAAAUUUUUUUACAAUGAUUCUUCAACAAACCAACAAUCUAUAAAUCAAAUAGAUACUUUGAAAGUUUAAUACUUAAUAAUUUCAAAAGUAUUGGGAAUUGACCACACUAGCACACCAUGAAACCAUAAUUUUAAAACUUCUAAGUUCAUCUUGAACACAAAAUAUAGACUCCAUAGUUUAAAGUUCAUCCAAAUAAAUUCCGAAUUUUAAAGUUUAAAAAUCAUAAAUUUGAAUAAUGAAGAGAAAAAUAAAUUAAAUAUUAGAGUUUGUCAUCUAACGCUCGCAAUAAUAAAGUCUUCGAUUUUAGAAGUAACAUAUCACUCUCUAUACUUCGCGUACACGACACCUAAAACAUUUCUAUAUGUACAUAAAACGAAAAUAAAAAGCAAGAUAUUAGAAAAGACAAACAUAUAAUUAUAUAGAAUAUAAAACCUAAAAGCAUAUUAUUCAAAUCAAAUAUUUAAUACGAAAAUAAAGACAAAAAACGACGUCGUUUUAGAGAGAUUCGGUUUUUCGGUUCGGUUCGGUUUUUUAAGGGCUAGAACCAAAAACCAAACCAAACUAAUUUGGUUCGGUUCGGUUUUUUUUAAUUCGGUUUGGUUUUUUCCGGUUUCGGUUUGGUUUUUGGCUCGGUUUUUUUCUGUUUUCGGUUUCAAAAUUCCACCCCUAGUAGUUUUUCAUAUGUUCAGUAGUAUCUUUUAUAGUUGGUGACAAUAGCUUUUUUUGUUGGUGACAGUAGCUUUUGUUUUACGUUGUAGUAGUUUUUCAUAUGCUCGAUAGUAUCUUUUAUAGCUGGUGAUAGUAGCUUAUUUUGUUGGUGACGGUAGCUUUUCAUAUGCUUGGUAGUAUCUUUUAUAGAUGGUGACAAUAUCUUUUGUGACUUCGCCGAAGGUCGUCGGAAUCUCAGUAUAGUAGCUUUUGUAACUGGUGGUAGUAGCUUUUGUUAUGUUCAGUAGUAUUUUUUGUUGUUGGCGAUAGUAUCUUUUGUAACCUCGCCGGAGGUUGCCAGAAAUCUCACCAUAGGUCUAUAGUAGCUUUUAUAGCCUGUGGUAGUAGCUUUUGUUGCUGGUGACAGUAUCUUUUGCAAUCGUCGAUAACAUUAUCGAAGGUCGAUGGGAAACUUUGUCGACGGUCGGUGGGAAACUUUGUCGGAGAUCGGUUGGAGACCUGCCGUUGGUCGACCAGAGAUCUCGCCUGAGGUUGGCCGGAGAUGAUAGUAGGUGUUGACUUUUUACAUUAAUGAUAUUUUUGUAAAUAUAAGAGAGAAUCCUUUUUUUUUUUUUGGAUGGCAGUAUGUAAUUAUGUUGAACUUUAAUACCUAAUACAAAACCAUAUUUAAGCUUGGGUGAACUUAGGUGAGUAAAAAUGUUGGGGUGGAACCAUGUGGGAAAAAUGUCUCAAAAUAGACUUAUAUGUAAUUGACCCAAAUAAAAACUAAGCCAAUAACCUAAACCACAUAAUCGACGCCGAGAACGAUUUCAAAGCCUUCUAUCAUCAAACUUGUCAAAGCCAAAAUCAAUCGAAUAUUAGAUUAACCCAACAUGAAUUCAGAAUUCCCCAUGUAUAGAUUCAAUCAAAAGGUUGCGAAACCAAAAUUAAUCGUCUAAAUUUCAAGUAUCAGACUAAACCCAAUAUGAGUUGGGAAUUCCCCAUAAUUAUACCAGAUUAUAGUAAACAGAAAAGCAUAAAACCCCUAUUGAUAUAAAAGAAAGAAACAAAAAAGAAUGAAUAUAUAUAUAUAUAUAUAUAUAUAUCAGUUCCCUUCUAGAGCGGUGUCCCGCUUUGAAAUUAAAGUGUGGACCUCCUUAUUUCGCUCACUUUCAGGUCGCAUUUCCACAUCUCAACCGUACAAUGUCUAGAACACAGUGUGUAGAUCAUUCAUGCAAAGUUUCAUCCAAUUUGAAGAUCAUUUGGGUACCGAAUUAGAUUAAAUAAAUUAACAGAACAAAAACUGUCCAAACAGAACCGUUCGAGUAAAUCACGAUUACGGAAUCUCAAAUGAUAUUUAAAUUGGAUGAAACUUUGCAUAAAUGAUCUACACGUUAUGUUCUAGACAUUGUACGGUUGAGA
rnacentral:lncRNA from 1 species